ACUGCUCAGUAACACGUAGUCAAUCUGCCCUUAGGACAGAGAUAACCCCGGGAAACUGGGGCUAAUAUCCGAUAGAUGAAAACACCUGGAAUGGUCUUUCAUCGAAUUGUUCUUAGAAACAUGCUUCUAAGUACGCCUAAGGAUGAGACUGCGUCCGAUCAGGCUGUUGGUGAGGUAACGGCCCACCAAACCUAUAACCGGUACGGGCCCUGAAAGGGGUGGCCCGGAGAUGGGAACUGAGACAAGGUCCCAGGCCCUACGGGGCGCAGCAGGCGCGAAAACUCCACAAUGCGCGAAAGCGUGAUGGGGUUAUCCCGAGUGCCUUCCGUAAGGAAAGCUUUUCCUCAGUGUAAGGAGCUGGGGGAAUAAAGGGGGGGCAAGUCUGGUGUCAGCCGCCGCGGUAAUACCAGCUCCCUUAGUGAUAGGGACGAUUAUUUAGCCUAAAGCGUCCGUAGCCGGCUUAGCAAGUCUUUCGUUAAAUCUGACGACUUAAUCGCCAGACCGCGGGAGAUACUGCUAUGCUAGAGGGCGGGAAAGGUUGACGGUAGUCCUUGGGUAGGGGUGAAAUCCUAUAAUCCUAGGAGGACCACCAACGGCGAAGGCAGUCAACUAGAACGCGCCUGACGGUGAUGGACGAAAGCUGGGGGAGCGAACCGGAUUAGACACCCGGGUAGUCCCAGCUGUAAACGAUGCGGGCUAGGUGUUGGGGUAGCUACGUGCUGCUCCAGUGCCGCAGAGAAGUCGUUAAGCCCGCCGCUUGGGAAGUACGGCCGCAGGCUGAACUUAAAGGAUUGGCGGGGAGCAC
rnacentral:rRNA from 1 species